UGAGGAAUAUUGGUCAAUGGGCGAGAGCCUGAACCAGCCAAGUCGCGUGAAGGAAGACUGCCUUAUGGGUUGUAAACUUCUUUUAUACAGGAAUAAAAAGGCUUACGUGUAGGCCAUUGCAAGUACUGUAUGAAUAAGCAUCGGCUAACUCCGUGCCAGCAGCCGCGGUAAUACGGAGGAUGCGAGCGUUAUCCGGAUUUAUUGGGUUUAAAGGGUGCGCAGGCGGGCUUUUAAGUCAGCGGUGAAAUCUGGACGCUUAACGUCCAAACUGCCGUUGAAACUGGGAGUCUUGAGUAUGGAUGAAGUAGGCGGAAUUCGUUGUGUAGCGGUGACAUGCAUAGAUAUAACGAGGAACUCCGAUUGCGUAGGCAGCUUACUAAGCCAUAACUGACGCUCAUGCACGAAAGCGUGGGGGAUCAAACAGGAUUAGAUACCCUGGUAGUCCACGCCGUAAAACGAUGAUUUACUAGUUGUAUGCCGAUAUGAUAGUAUGUGACUAAGCGAAAG
rnacentral:rRNA from 1 species